CGAGCGAAGCGAGAGAACGUUGCCGCAGGCAACGGCCCGAAGGGCGAGGCGCUUUAGCGCCGAGUAAUCCUUCCCCCACCACUG
rnacentral:sRNA from 1 species